AAGUCACAAAACCACAGACCGGUUGCUGGGAGCGCAUAUUCUAGGCGCUGGUGCUGGUGAAAUGGUUAAUGAAGCCGCCCUAGCAAUGGAAUAUGGUGCAUCGUGCGAGGAUGUAGCCAGAGUUUGCCAUGCCCAUCCGACCGUAUCCGAAGCUUUCAGAGAAGCAAAUCUAGCGGCUUCCUUUGGCAAAGCAAUCAACUUUUAAAGCGAAGGAACAUCCGUGGUGGUGUGUGAAAAGCACAUUUCCCCCCCCCCCCCCGUGAAACUGACUGAAGAUUCGAUGGAAAAUCGAGUUUUUGCAAUACUCCCAGGCCUUAAUUAAGUGAACUUUUGUUCCACCCCCACCCCCCAAAAAAGCUAAAAUAUUUAAACAAAUAAGGGGUUGGGAUUUAAUUAACCAAGAGCUGUAUAUUAUAUGACCAACACUAACUUUGCAUUAUUGAUUGCCCGUUCUUAAGUUUCACAGGAGAAAAACGGCCAGCGGCAUUAGCGAAUGGUUGGAGCGAUCUUAAAAGGUCCCAUUAUGCAUUUUCGUUCAAAUAUAGCGUCUAAUAUUA